rnacentral:rRNA from 1 species
GACGAACGCUGGCGGCGUGCCUAAUACAUGCAAGUUGAGCGCUGAAGGUUGGUACUUGUACCGACUGGAUGAGCAGCGAACGGGUGAGUAACGCGUGGGGAAUCUGCCUUUGGGCGGGGGACAACAUUUGGAAACGAAUGCUAAUACCGCAUAAAAACUUUAAACACAAGUUUUAAGUUUGAAAGAUGCAAUUGCAUCACUCAAAGAUGAUCCCGCGUUGUAUUGGCUAGUUGGUGAGGUAAAGGCUCACCAAGGCGAUGAUACAUAGCCGACCUGAGAGGGUGAUCGGCCACAUUGGGACUGAGACACGGCCCAAACUCCUACGGGAGGCAGCAGUAGGGAAUCUUCGGCAAUGGACGAAAGUCUGACCGAGCAACGCCGCGUGAGUGAAGAAGGUUUUCGGAUCGGAAAACUCUGUUGGUAGAGAAGAACGUUGGUGAGAGUGGAAAGCUCAUCAAGUGACGGUAACUACCCAGAAAGGGACGGCUAACUACGUG